rnacentral:rRNA from 1 species
UACAGGGGUGGCAAGCGUUGUUCGGAAUUACUGGGCGUAAAGGGCGCGUAGGCGGCCUUGUAAGUCUUGUGUGAAAUCCCUCGGCUCAACUGAGGAACUGCACGGGAUACUGCGAGGCUUGAGUUCGGGAGAGGGAAGCGGAAUUCCGGGUGUAGCGGUGAAAUGCGUAGAUAUCCGCAAGAACACCAGUGGCGAAGGCGGCUCACUGGCCCGGUACUGACGCUGAGGUGCGAAAGCGUGGGGAGCAAACAGG